UGAAACCGUUUAGGGGUAAACCUGAGAAACCCGAAAGGUCGAAGGGAGAAAUUCAUUCGCGUUUAACAUGGACGUCUGGCGAUGGUUAAGUGACGGAAUUUGUUUCGACAUGUUUCGCRCCCAUCGUUUGACGAGUCUGUAUUUAACGCGUGCACUUUUCUCCUGGUAGGACGUCGCGAUCCGUUGGGUGUCGGUCUACGGUUCAUAGUGGAGCCCGUUAAUCGCGUUCAUAGCGCGUAUUAACGGACCUGUGAAACCCGGCCGACUCGCUCGACGGUAUAUUUAAUGGUUCAAGGCCGCUUAAUUUAUUAAGCGUCCGACUCAUGGCAAGCGCGUCAGUUGUUUGUUGGCCAUCGGACCUAGUGCCGAUUCUGACCUCUGAUGACUGUUGGCCGUGAAGUUCUCGGACAGACCUUGUUUUUUCUUCGGAAAAUAACCGUUCUGCGGCGCUAUAGCUUUGGGUAAUUUCAGGACCCGUCUUGAAACACGGACCAAGGAGUCUAGCAUGUGCGCGAGUCAUUGGGAAUCAUUAAACCUAAAGGCAUAAUGAAAGUAAAGAUUUUCGCUUGCGAGAAUCGAGGGAAGAUAAGUAUUUCUAUUUAUAGGGUACUUCGCAUUCCCGGGGCGUCUCAUUCUCAUUGCGAGAAGAGGCGCACCAAGAGCGUACACGCUGGGACCCGAAAGAUGGUGAACUAUGCCUGGUCAGGACGAA
rnacentral:rRNA from 1 species